rnacentral:rRNA from 1 species
GACGAACGCUGGCGGCGUGCCUAACACAUGCAAGUGGAGCGACGAACCGGACUUCGGUCCGGGGCAAAGCCGCGAACGGGUGAGUAACACGUGGGUAACCUGCCCCGAUGAUUGGGACGAACCCGAGGAAACUCGGGCGUAAUACCGAAUGUGCCCUACGGUCGCAAGACCGCUGGGGAAAGGAAGCUUCGCCUCCGCAUCGGGAUGGGCCCGCGGCCAUUAGCUUGUUGGUGAGGUAAAGGCUCACCAAGGCCACGAUGGGUA